rnacentral:lncRNA from 1 species
UUACAUUCCUAUAAUAUUAAAAUGACUGGAAGGUAAGAAGUGGUGGUCUUUUUAUCUUGCCAAUUGAGAUAUUAGCAUACAAACUUCCAAUGAUGCUUCUGAAACACCAAAUUCCUUAUUACAUAUGCAUCAUGCCGCAAUAAAAUCUAGAUGACGGCAAUCUUCACAAAAUGUAGAUGGCACCUGCCUAAACUUGACACCAUCGACCAAAUGUAAUUUCGAUACCAUGGUCAAAACUAAAAAAAACAAGAGAGGAGUAAGCCGCUGCCUAGAAAACUUACCUCGAGGGACAGAGCAUAACAACCCCUGCAAAAUUAUGAAGAAAAAAUUCGUUCCUGUCAAACAAGAGAGGAAAUCAAAAGGAAAUGAAAAAAGAGAUCCUUCUUCUCCGCUAAUCUGAGAGGGAUAAACAGAGGGUAAAUUAACUCACCGAACCAAUCUCUCCUUGACUGGUCUGCUAAGACCUCGGUUGUAGCAAAGGUAUUUGUUCAUGUUCCCCACAGACCACGGUGCAACCACAGCAAGGCAAUGAACAUGAACUGGAAGAUGAAAGUUAGCACCAAAUCAGGUAAUAUUGGAGGAUGUCAGGUCUGCACUUCACAUUUUACAAUUCAUAAGUGCACUCUUUUUUUGUUCAAACAGAAAGUAAUUAAGUAUUAAGUCUCAGCCUGGGCCCCUCUAAUGAAAAAUUCCAUACAACAGCUAAGCUAAUAUCCAUACUCCAAUCGUGAAGUUUGAACAGAAAAUGAAACAGAGGUAACAAUCUCACUUUACCUGUAAAUGGAAUGCAACUAAGGAGAUAAUUUCCGUGGAGCAAAUCGUUCCAUCUUUCGGACAAUUAACACAAUGUAUCUUAGCCAGAAAUUCAUCUACAGAAGUAUCUGAAAUCUUCCAUCAAUAGAAGAAACAAGUUUAAAUAUCCUUGAUCUUGACAUGCCUGCAAAUCGGAAGAACAUCAACGACAUAUAGAGAUGCAUAAAUAACAAGAUCAGGAGGAGAUUACUGUGUGAUGGGGGAGAGAGAGAGGAGCCGAGGGGAAGCCCACCUUGGAAUCAGCCAUUGCUUGAUGCUUGUGCCGCUCCCCAAAAUCUGCCCGUGAUUGCCUGUCCCCGCCGCCGCACACAUGGUGCUAGGCGGACCGUGCACCUUCUCCCUGCGCACCUCCUCGUACCGCACCAUAUGCUCGUUGCUGCCCUUCAGCGUGGACGUGACCCUCGCGUAAGGCACGCGGCCCAUCAAGGUCGAGCUCUUGUACGCGCCACUGUUGUUGGCUGCGCUGGCCGCGGGGUUCCUCCUGUACGGAGGGGCUCUGGCUGAGUUGCUUCGGGGCCUCGCGGUGCGCUUCGCCGCCGGCGUGCUCAGGGUGGAGCAUGUGAGGACGGAGGAGGAGCUUGGGGCGGACCAGGGAGGGGAGGAUGCAGGAGGGCGCGGCUAGAGUUCGUGGGGGUGGCGGCUGAGACAAGGGAGGAGGAAGGGGUGCGGGCGGGCGGCUGUGGGGAUUGGGGGACAAUGGGCUUUCCAGAGGCGCAACCAAUCAGACCCUCACACCGACGACCCCACCGACGAAGCGGCCCACCGGUCAUACACAUGUGAAAGAAAUAACAAGGUGAAAUAUGCAGUGAAUAUCCAACGUCUGAGGGGAAGCGAGGUGGGAAAUUCACUACGAUCGGACAGCCAGGAACGGCGCAAUCCGGGGAGCUCUUCCAAUAUAUAGCUCCGAACACCAUCCUUUCACAUGACUAUAGCAAGAGGGCCUCAAAUGAGAAGGUGGUAAGCAGAUCAACCAAUAAUUUUAUUUUGGCGAAUAGCUUGCUUAUCAGUCAUUACAUGCAGUUGAGGCAAUAUCAUGGACUAAUUCUCUUACUAUCGAAUGCUUGUGAAAUAGCCCUUUAUAAAAUCUGAUGUAUCAUGAAAUUUUUAAUGAUUAAGUGGAAGUACACACAAAAUACAAAACUAACGCUCGCUGAGAAUAGAUGAAGAACCCCAAACUGAGUCCAUCUUGCACUAAAAAAUUGAAAAUUGUGACAACAGACCUCCUACCUAACCAUUUUUUUCCAGAUUUAGGUAUAUUCGAGGUUGUGGCAUCUUCUAACGCUGUAUUCAUCUGAUUAUAUUAUCCAGUGACUUCCUACUCAGAAGAUGAAGGUAUCAUAUGUUGCAAAUUCAAAAAAUGUUAUCAUGCAUUGAACAACCAAAGAUAAAUUAGCAAAGGGUGGCAUUAAUAUGAGUAGUAGAGAGAUGGGGAACCAUGACCCUUCUUCAUUCAGAGAUUAACAACUGAGAUUUUUUAUUCCUGUACAAAGCAACACCGCACGCUCUAUGUUUCAGCACAAGUGCAUACUGCAUUCAGAGAUUAACAACUGAAAUUUUCGAUCUGGGGCCAAUUAGAUAUAUGGUAGCAGCUAGCAUUCUUAUUGAAGUGAUUCUCACCGGAAUCUAUUUUGUAUACUAAAUUAUAAGAUGGAUUAUUUUGGGUUUACAGCUGCCAUUAUUAAGGCUCUGAACAUGAUACUAUUUGCAUUAUAGUGGAGUGCUUUUAGACAUAUGCAUAAAAGCAAACAUUCGUUCUUAUCAUGUAACAGAGAUACUGUUCUUUUGAUAAGCGCUUUUUCUACCCAUUUAUAAUAGGGACAUGCUACUGCUUAGCUGCGCCUCUGUUUGCUGCCGAUACUACGAACUAUAAUUUAUGUGGGUGUACUUUAUGCGUAUAUACACGAUGUAUAAAGCAUGAACCUGGCAAGAAAAAUACAAAGGAAUAUAUGAUGCUGCAGUAUACCUAUUUAUCUAACUGAAAUUAAGCCUACCACUUCCUGCUCUCUAUUACUUCAGAAUCAUAUGUAUGAGAAAACACUGAUACCCAUUACUUUAUACUGACAAGCUGCAUGCUCCGGGACAAAGGUCUCGCACCAUGUCACGCCACAGCUCCUUUCUCUUCUCGAAUCAACAUCUUGAUUUUGAGAUGCAACAUAUAACCAGGUUUUUAUCUUGAUCCUAAACUAGUUCUGAUCCUAAACUAAUCUUGGAAACAUUUUGUACCCAACAUGCUUCAAUCUGUACUCAGCGCAUCAAAGGAAACAAAAAAUGAAUAACACCCAGUCGUGUAAAUGCAGGGGCACUGAAUUCAACUUACAUUCCUAUAAUAUUAAAAUGACUGGAAGGUAAGAAGUGGAGGUCUUUUUAUCUUGCCAAUUGAGAUAUUAGCAUACGAACUUCCAAUGAUGCUUCUGAAACACCAAAUUCCUUAUUACAUAUGCAUCAUGCCGCAAUAAAAUCUAGAUGACGGCAAUCUUCACAAAAUGCAGAUGGCACCUGCCUAAACUUGACACCAUCAACCAGAUGUAAUUUCGAUACCAUGGGCAAAACUAAAAAAACAAGAGAGGAGUAAGCCGCUGCCUAGCAAACUUACCUCGAGGGACAGAGCAUAACAACCCCUGCAAAAUUAUGAAGAAAAAAUUCGUUCUUGUCAAACAAGAGAGGAAAUCAAAAGGAAAUGAAAAAAAAGAUCCUUCUUCUCCGCUAAUCUGAGAGGGAUAAACAGAG